rnacentral:rRNA from 1 species
CCUACGGGGGGCAGCAGUAGGGAAUAUUGCUCAAUGGGGGAAACCCUGAAGCAGCAACGCCGCGUGGAGGAUGAAGGUUUUCGGAUUGUAAACUCCUUUUGUUAGAGAAGAUAUUGACGGUAUCUAACGAAUAAGCACCGGCUAACUACGUGCCAGCAGCCGCGGUAAUACGGAGGGUGCAAGCGUUAUUCGGAAUCACUGGGCGUAAAGAGCGCGUAGGCGGGAUAGCAAGUCAGAUGUGAAAUCCUAUGGCUUAACUAUAGAACUGCAUUUGAAACUGUUAUUCUUGAGUAUGGGAGAGGUAAGUGGAAUUCUUGGUGUAGGGGUAAAAUCCGUAGAGAUCAAGAGGAAUACUCGUUGCGAAGGCGAUCUGCUAGAACAUAACUGACGCUGAGGCGCGAAAGCGUGGGGAGCAAACAGGAUUAGAUACCCCGGUAGUC